UACGUAGGGUGCGAGCGUUAAUCGGAAUUACUGGGCGUAAAGCGUGCGCAGGCGGACGAAUAAGUCAGGGGUGAAAGCCUGGAGCUCAACUCCAGAACUGCCUUUGAAACUACAUCGCUAGAAUCAUGGAGAGGUUAGUGGAAUUCCGAGUGUAGAGGUGAAAUUCGUAGAUAUUCGGAAGAACACCAGUGGCGAAGGCGACUAACUGGACAUGUAUUGACGCUGAGGUGCGAAAGCGUGGGGAGCAAACAGG
rnacentral:rRNA from 1 species